AGUGAACGCUGGCGGUAGGCCUAACACAUGCAAGUCGAACGGCAGCACAGUAAGAGCUUGCUCUUACGGGUGGCGAGUGGCGGACGGGUGAGGAAUACAUCGGAAUCUACUUUUUCGUGGGGGAUAACGUAGGGAAACUUACGCUAAUACCGCAUACGACCUACGGGUGAAAGCAGGGGAUCUUCGGACCUUGCGCGAUUGAAUGAGCCGAUGUCGGAUUAGCUAGUUGGCGGGGUAAGGCCCACCAAGGCGACGAUCCGUAGCUGGUCUGAGAGGAGGAUCAGCGACACUGGAACUGAGACACGGUCCAGACUCCUACGGGAGGCAGCAGUGGGGAAUAUUGGACAAUGGGCGCAAGCCUGAUCCAGCCAUACCGCGUGGGUGAAGAAGGCCUUCGGGUUGUAAAGCCCUUUUGUUGGGAAAGAAAAGCAGCAGGUUAAUACCCCGCUGUUCUGACGGUACCCAAAGAAUAAGCACCGGCUAACUUCGUG
rnacentral:rRNA from 1 species